rnacentral:rRNA from 1 species
UAAGGGAUCACAGUAAGUAAUAAGUGGGGUUCCAGUUCAUUUACUUUGAGUAAAUUAGAGUGUUCAAAAGCAGCCUGUAUGGGCAUUGAAUAGAUUAGCAUGGGAUAAUAGAAUAGGAUUCUUAUCUAUUUAUUGGUUUAUAGAUUUAGAAUAAUGAUUAAUAGGAUAGUUGGGGCACUUGUAUUCAAUAGUCAGAGGUGAAAUUCUAGGAUUUUAUUGAAGACAAACUUCAGCGAAAGCAUUUGCCAAGGAUGUUUUCAUUAAUCAAGAACGAAAGUUAGGGGAUCGAAGACGAUUAGACACCGUCGUAGUCUUAACUAUAAACUAUGCCGACCAGGGAUAUGAGUAGUUUUUUAUUUAUGUUAUUAAAAGUAACAUAAUCUCUUGUGGACCUUGUGAGAAAUCAUAAGUUUUUGGGUUCUGGGG